CGAAAGCCUGACGGAGCAACGCCGCGUGAGGGAUGAAGGCCUCUGGGCUGUAAACCUCUUUUAUCAAGGAAGAAGAUCUGACGGUACUUGAGGAAUAAGCCACGGCUAAUUCCGUGCCAGCAGCCGCGGUAAUACGGGAGUGGCAAGCGUUAUCCGGAAUUAUUGGGCGUAAAGCGUCCGCAGGCGGCCUUGUAAGUCUGYUGUCAAAGAGUGGAGCUCAACUCCAUAUAGGCAGUGGAAACUGUAAGGCUUGAGUGUGGUAGGGGCAGAGGGAAUUCCCGGUGUAGCGGUGAAAUGCGUAGAUAUCGGGAAGAACA
rnacentral:rRNA from 1 species